GGCGUGGCAAAGCACCCAUGUUUUCAGAAAAAGUGUGCAUGAGAACUUCACUGGAGAUGAUCUCUUGAAGCUGUUUCCUCCUGAUCUUUCACUUGAUCUGCAAAGCUUUCUUGUGUUGUUGCUCCAGAAAUAUCAGAAUCAAUGGAAAGAGGAAAUGUCAAGAGAACAGCAUCCCCUACCAAGGACCAGUGUCUCCUACCAGGUGAAAGCUAGCGUGCAACCAUCUUUCUCAUCUUCUGUGAUUUCAAUGCCACUUUGGCCUCGCCAGGAUGAUCUUAAUGGACGUUUGAAUCGCAAUGAUCUCGGGUUUUCUCCAUCAAUAAUCACUGGUACCAAUGCCUCACACAUUGCACCUGUUUCUAUCCAACAAGACGCUAGCCCUUCUGAAAACAUGGGUGCUUUGCCACGCC
rnacentral:misc_RNA from 1 species